rnacentral:tRNA from 1 species
AGAGGCUGUGGCUCAGUGGCUGAGCAUCUGUUUGGCACUCAGGUAAGUCCCAGGUUCAAUUCCCAGUAUCUCCA